rnacentral:lncRNA from 1 species
AAAACACUUAACACUCACUUAAACAGAACUCUCUUUAUAGAGUAGAUAUGAGUAAACAAGUACGCUCAAGAACACAACAAUAAAUUCAAAGAAUUGGAUCUCAAAAUAUACUUAAAUAUGAUAGAAUGAAUGUAGAGAGUAUUUGAAAGCUUAUGAAUGUUUAGAUCAGAUGUUGUGUCUCAAAUGAGAGAUUUUGGGGUGUAUUUAUAGCCCCAAAAUACCUUCUAACCGUUGCUUAAAGUUUA